rnacentral:rRNA from 1 species
GACGAACGCUGGCGGCGUGCCUAAUACAUGCAAGUCGAGCGAGCGGAACUAACAGAUUUACUUCGGUAAUGACGUUAGGAAAGCGAGCGGCGGAUGGGUGAGUAACACGUGGGGAACCUGCCCCAUAGUCUGGGAUACCACUUGGAAACAGGUGCUAAUACCGGAUAAGAAAGCAGAUCGCAUGAUCAGCUUUUAAAAGGCGGCGUAAGCUGUCGCUAUGGGAUGGCCCCGCGGUGCAUUAGCUAGUUGGUAAGGUAAAGGCUUACCAAGGCGAUGAUGCAUAGCCGAGUUGAGAGACUGAUCGGCCACAUUGGGACUGAGACACGGCCCAAACUCCUACGGGAGGCAGCAGUAGGGAAUCUUCCACAAUGGACGCAAGUCUGAUGGAGCAACGCCGCGUGAGUGAAGAAGGUUUUCGGAUCGUAAAGCUCUGUUGUUGGUGAAGAAGGAUAGAGGUAGUAACUGGCCUUUAUUUGACGGUAAUCAACCAGAAAGUCACGGCUAACUACGUGCCAGCAGCCGCGGUAAUACGUAGGUGGCAAGCGUUGUCCGGAUUUAUUGGGCGUAAAGCGAGCGCAGGCGGAAGAAUAAGUCUGAUGUGAAAGCCCUCGGCUUAACCGAGGAACUGCAUCGGAAACUGUUUUUCUUGAGUGCAGAAGAGGAGAGUGGAACUCCAUGUGUAGCGGUGGAAUGCGUAGAUAUAUGGAAGAACACCAGUGGCGAAGGCGGCUCUCUGGUCUGCAACUGACGCUGAGGCUCGAAAGCAUGGGUAGCGAACAGGAUUAGAUACCCUGGUAGUCCAUGCCGUAAACGAUGAGUGCUAAGUGUUGGGAGGUUUCCGCCUCUCAGUGCUGCAGCUAACGCAUUAAGCACUCCGCCUGGGGAGUACGACCGCAAGGUUGAAACUCAAAGGAAUUGACGGGGGCCCGCACAAGCGGUGGAGCAUGUGGUUUAAUUCGAAGCAACGCGAAGAACCUUACCAGGUCUUGACAUCUAGUGCCAUUUGUAGAGAUACAAAGUUCCCUUCGGGGACGCUAAGACAGGUGGUGCAUGGCUGUCGUCAGCUCGUGUCGUGAGAUGUUGGGUUAAGUCCCGCAACGAGCGCAACCCUUGUUAUUAGUUGCCAGCAUUAAGUUGGGCACUCUAAUGAGACUGCCGGUGACAAACCGGAGGAAGGUGGGGAUGACGUCAAGUCAUCAUGCCCCUUAUGACCUGGGCUACACACGUGCUACAAUGGGCAGUACAACGAGAAGCGAGCCUGCGAAGGCAAGCGAAUCUCUGAAAGCUGUUCUCAGUUCGGACUGCAGUCUGCAACUCGACUGCACGAAGCUGGAAUCGCUAGUAAUCGCGGAUCAGCACGCCGCGGUGAAUACGUUCCCGGGCCUUGUACACACCGCCCGUCACACCAUGGGAGUCUGCAAUGCCCAAAGCCGGUGGCCUAACCUUCGGGAAGGAGCCGUCUAAGGCAGGGCAGAUGACUGGGGUGAAGUCGUAACAAGGUAGCCGUAGGAGAAC